GCAGACCGGAAGAUCUUCGCGGACCAUUUGGAGAGUAUGGACCCCUGAAGGAUGUUUACUUACCGCGUGACUAUUAUACUGGCGUGGACCAGUAUGGUAGCCGUUUGAUUCAACAGAAACUUGAAACCGCUACUACCGAGGAUAAAAACAUGGUUUUUCAAGAGAUUUUCCCUCAGGCUCUUACUUUGAUGACCGAUGUCUUUGGAAAUUAUGUGAUUCGGAAGUUUUUCGAGCAUGGAAUGCCAGCUCAGCGAAGAGAAUUGGCUGGAAAGCUGUUGGGCCAUGUUUUGUCCCUUAGUCUUCAAAUGUACGGCUGCCGAGUUAUACAGAAGGUAAUAAUAUGUUGCACAUGUGUUAUCUAAUUUAGUGAUUUUACCUACAUUAUUAUGUAUAUGUGGUUGUAAAAUUCACAUUA